UUGAGUUGAAUAUCUAGACUAAAAAAAAAAAAAUCAAGCGCUUUCGCCACGCCACCUCCAAUUAGUUUGAGCAGUUGCAGGAAAGGAAAGCUUCUCCCAUUAACGAUCAAAAUGCUCUGCUCCAUUGACACUUCCACGGCCGCCGCCUCCAAUUCCAAGUCCACCUCCAAUUGGCUCCAACGCCUCCACAGUUCUCGCGGCCUCUCCGUCCCCGUCCACCACCACCUCGAUCACUUCCUCUCCUCUGAUCCCAGCCCCGAUCCCACCACCGUGCCCGACCCUAGCCUUAACCUUCCUCUUACAGUCCUCCGCUCGGAGGCCCCCGAUCUCCCUUCGCUUGGCACCGCACUCGAUGAGAAGCAGAAGAUCUUCGAUCUCGUCGGCGGCGGUCUCGCGGAGCUCUUCGUCAUGGAAGGGCCGGCGGGGAUCAAGGCCAAGAAGAGCGCCCGGAAGCAGUCCAACCCUAGGGUUUGUAUUCCCUCCGUCUCCGACAGCAUCGACGGGUGCCGCGAACCCCCCGCGGCCUCCCCUCCCUCCAGCGCGGACAACAGCGUGGCCGAGGCCAAGAAGAGCCGAACCAAAAUGCGUCGAAAGAGGGGCACGGCUAGGGGUUCGACGGACUUGGACUUGUCGGCGUGCUCGAGGACCGAUGUGACCGUCAUUGAUACCAGCCACCCGGGUUGGAAGUCGGAGAAGGUCAUCUUUAGGAACGGAAAUAUGUGGAAGGUGCGGGAUAAGAAAGUUUGGAAUUUGAACAGGAAGAAGAGAAGGUUGGGCGUCGUAGGGCGAUCAGGCAACGAUAAAGAGAAGGAACAACCUCUUCCUGGACCAAAAAUUCCAGCAUCCAUGGAGUUUUCGGUACCAAUUGAAGGCGAAGGCGCAUAAGGAUGAUAUCUACUUGUUUGCUUGUAACUGCUCCAAAUUGCAUAUGCACAAUGGAUGGUUUCGUUCUUUUGUCGCAGCUGAUAAUAUUUUGUCAUUCCGUGUUUUCGUCGACAGAAGUUGUAAAUUGAAACAACAUAUAUUGCUGUUUCUGGACAAGGUUACCUAUCCAAAGCUAUGCUCAGUGUUUGAGUAUCUCUUUUAGCAAAUUGCUUUCAGCUUACUUCCACUGGACCACUCCGGCAUGGCUUUCAAGUCUGAAAUCACCGAUAACAUAUUUGACUUGUAGAUACCAGUGGAAAGAGGCUAUCUUCAAUGUAGAUAUUGCAAGAGCUUAUGGAAUGGAUUGAAGUAUGAAUGUGUGUGUGAUUAAGAUAUAAAAGUGAUAAUGUAAUUUCAAUAAAAAAAUAUAAAUAAGAAC